CGGAUGGGGAUAGGCUCGCGUGACAUUAGCUGGACGGCGGGGUAACGGCCCACCGUGGCUACGAUGUCUAGGGGUUCUGAGAGGAAGGUCCCCCACACUGGAACUGAGACACGGUCCAGACUCCUACGGGAGGCAGCAGUGAGGAAUAUUGGUCAAUGGGCGGGAGCCUGAACCAGCCAUGCCGCGUGAAGGCGAGUGCCCUACGGGCGUUAAACUUCUUUUGUGCGGGAGCAAUAAGGGCCACGCGUGGCCCGAUGAGAGUACCGCACGAAUAAGCAUCGGCUAACUCCGUGCCAGCAGCCGCGGUAAUACGGGGGAUGCGAGCGUUAUCCGGAUUUAUUGGGUUUAAAGGGUGCGUAGGCGGCGCUUCAGGUCAGCGGUGAAAUACCGGGGCUCAACCCCGGGGCUGCCGUUGAAACCGGAGCGCUAGAAUUCCGAUGCCGUCGGAGGAAUGUGUGGUGUAGCGGUGAAAUGCAUAGAUAUCACACAGAACACCGAUUGCGAAGGCAUCUGACGAAUCGGAGAUUGACGCUGAUGCACGAAAGCGUGGGUAUCGAACAGGAUUAGAUACCCUGGUAGU
rnacentral:rRNA from 1 species